UAAAUAAGGCUUGUUAAUAUAAUCUUACACUAUAUAUUAUAUAAUAAGAAAAAUAAUUUUACAAUUUAAAAAUAAGUAAUAUUUAUCGAAUUUUAUAAUUUUUAACUAAAGCUCAUAAGUACUGAUAAGGAAGGUUUAUUAAUUAUAUUUAAAUAUAGUAGAUUUUGAAUUUUGUAUUUUGUGUAUUAAAGAAAAUUUAUAUAAUUUAGUUAUUUUAAAUAUCUCGAAACAAACUUAGCUAAUCCAAAGUAAAAGAUUUUGUUGAAAAUAAAUUUUUAACUUUAGAUUAAAGGUGAAAUGUUAAUCGAAGUUUGUUAUAUCUAGUUCUUUUAAAAAAAAUUUAAUUUUUCUUUUGUAGUUAAUAAAAUAUAAAAGGUAAAUGUAGGAGGGAUUAGCUUCUUAUAAAUUGAAGUAAUAAAUGGUUAUUGGUAUAUAUGUUGAAUUAGGCUUGAGAGUAGCUAUUUUGAUAAAGUGUUUUAACUAAAUUAAUUUUAAGUUUAAGGAUUUUUUAGAACCUUGAUUAGUAUAAAAGAAUAUUUUAUAAUUAGGAAAACUUAGCUAUAAUGAUUUUAUUAGUAUAUUGUGUUGUUUAAACUAAAAUAUGUAUAAUAAGAAUUACUGUUUAGUUUUAUAGGGAAUAUAUAAAGGAACUCGGCAAAUGAUUUCUUUGCCUGUUUAUCAAAAACAUGUCUGUUUGGAGGUAUAAAAAGUCUGGCCUGCCCACUGAUAGUUUUUAAAGGGCCGCGGUAAUUUGACCGUGCAAAGGUAGCAUAAUCGUUAGUUUUUUAAUUGGAAUCUUGUAUGAAUGGUUUAACAAAAGAAUAACUGUCUCUAUUUUUUUCUUGAAUUUAACUUUUAAGUGAAAAGGCUUAAAUGCUUUAAAAAGACGAUAAGACCCUGUAAAGCUUGAUAAAUUUUAUUAUUUAAUUAAAUUAAUAUAGUAUAAAAGUUUAGUAAGACUAGUUUAUUUUAUUGGGGCGAUAAUGAUAAAAUGAUUUUAACUGUUUAUAGCAAAAGACAUAGUUAGAUGAGGUAGAAAUACUUAAAUGAUCCUUAUAAAUUAAGAUUAAGAGUUUAAGUUACUUCAGGGAUAACAGCGUUAUUUUUCUUGAGAGUUCAUAUCGAAAGAAAAUUUUGCGACCUCGAUGUUGAAUUAAAAUUUCUAUAUAAUUGCAGAAGUUAUAUUAGAGGGUCUGUUCGACCUUUAAAUUUUUACAUGAUUUGAGUUCAGACCGGCGUGAGCCAGGUUGGUUUCUAUCUUUUAAUUUAUAGAUAAUUACUUUAGUACGAAAGGAUUUGGUAAUUAGAAUUAUUUUUCGAUUGAUAUACUGUUUUGGCAGAUAAUAUGCGUUGGAUUUAGGAUCCUAUAAAAUAGAUUU
rnacentral:rRNA from 1 species